rnacentral:rRNA from 1 species
UUAGUGGAAGCGUCUGGAAAGGCGCGCGAUACAGGGUGACAGCCCCGUACACAAAAGCGCAUGUGCUGUGAGCUCGAUGAGUAGGGCGGGACACGUGGUAUCCUGUCUGAAUAUGGGGGGACCAUCCUCCAAGGCUAAAUACUCCUGACUGACCGAUAGUGAACCAGUACCGUGAGGGAAAGGCGAAAAGAACCCCGGCGAGGGGAGUGAAAAAGAACCUGAAACCGUGUACGUACAAGCAGUGGGAGCACAGGUUUACCUGUGUGACUGCGUACCUUUUGUAUAAUGGGUCAGCGACUUAUAUUCUGUAGCAAGGUUAACCGAAUAGGGGAGCCGGAGGGAAACCGAGUCUUAAYYGGGCGUUAAGUUGCAGGGUAUAGACCCGAAACCCGGUGAUCUAGCCAUGGGCAGGUUGAAGGUUGGGUAACACUAACUGGAGGACCGAACCGACUAAUGUUGAAAAAUUAGCGGAUGACCUGUGGCUGGGGGUGAAAGGCCAAUCAAACCGGGAGAUAGCUGGUUCUCCCCGAAAGCUAUUUAGGUAGCGCCUCGUGAAUUCAUCUCCGGGGGUAGAGCACUGUUUCGGCUAGG